AUGGCCACAAAACAGCCCCUGUUUCUAUUUUCAGACUGUGCUCUUCUGGCUCAAGAAGGCCAACACUGCACCCGUAGGGCAAAGGAGCCAUCCAUUGCCAAAACCUGCAGAGCAGUGGGAAGGGGAAAGGUUUUCCUGGUGGCAUUUUUCGGCAGAGAGAAUAUGUUAUCUUGCCUGCUUCUUGGGAACCGUGGAUCCUUCAUCAGUGACCUGGAAUGGUUGCUAAGUGUGAAGCAGAGAGCAGUUCUGACAGCCUUCUUUAAGCACAGGAUAUCCAUUGCUCUCAUGCGAAAAAGAAGCCUCCCAGAAAAGACUGCAUUGGGCAUUGACAGCUCUUUCACACGUUGCACUGUUAUUUCUGAAACCGAUCACGAGUUGUACUAUCUAGGUAAUACAUGCCUUUUGGACAUUUCUUAGUAAAGAUGCCCAAAUGAGAGACCCUACUGAUGAAAGCACUUCCUUCAGGGACCUUCAAUAGCUCGAUAUAUAUUUAGGGAAAUACAAAAGGAGAGGAGCGUGUAUUUUUGGGAUUGGGAAAAUACACAUUUUCCAUUGGACUAAACUGUCAACUCAUCAAUAUUUUAGAAUGGGUCAUGACCUGCAUAAAAGAAAAAAAAACAAACCUGUUUUGACUUUCUUGGCAGCCCCAAUCCUAAUUUGGUGGAAGUGGCUUUGUGCCUGGAUUUGAAAGCCACAGUCCCAGCCUUCUAUGCACUCAGCAAUGGCCGUAGAGCACACAUCUGGCCAAUGGUAUCUAAGAGGAAGUUACUUAAAGCUACUUAAAAUAGGACAGAAGCAGCUGAAGGGCACACGUUUUGUUCUCAUGCGUUUUCCUCUAGUAGCUGGAAUCAACUAGUAAUUUUGCAGUAGGAAAAAAUGAAAAGAUUCAUAGAUCCGGCAAUAAUGGUUUUAACAUGAGCCAUCCUUCCCUCAUCCUCCACAUUAACCCUCCAAUUUGCAGUUCCCUGAUUUGCGCAGCCAAAUGGAAUACCUAACGGAAAUAGAAUAUGGUAUCAGAACUGGCAGGGGGUGUAGCGAGGAAAGGAUGCUUCAAGUAAUAGAACCAAAAAUGUUUAAUUUGCUUAAUGGAAGGGGUGGGAAAGUGAGGGCAGUAUUGCAGGAGGUAAAGCUGGUUCAUCCAUAUGCAACAGGGCAAAACAGUUUUUCAGACUCUAGAAACAUUGUCUACUGACUCCUAAGUAAUAGAGAAUGUUGGCAUGCGUUGGACCCUUCUUAUUGCUUUUAGCAAAGCCUUAAGGGAGCAAUGAACUGAUUCAGAGACACACAGUCUACAAACAUGUGGAAGAAAAUACAGCACUGAUAAGAGGAGUGCUUCUUCCAAGACCAUCAAUCUAAGUUGACUGAGAAUCUCAAAAAUUGGAGCCAUUCGAUAGUUAAGAUAUAUGUUUGCUACUGG
ensembl:lncRNA